rnacentral:rRNA from 1 species
GAUGAACGCUGGCGGCGUGCCUAAUACAUGCAAGUCGAGCGAACAGACGAGGAGCUUGCUCCUCUGACGUUAGCGGCGGACGGGUGAGUAACACGUGGAUAACCUACCUAUAAGACUGGGAUAACUUCGGGAAACCGGAGCUAAUACCGGAUAACAUGUUGAACCGCAUGGUUCAACAGUGAAAGACGGUUUUGCUGUCACUUAUAGAUGGAUCCGCGCCGCAUUAGCUAGUUGGUAAGGUAACGGCUUACCAAGGCAACGAUGCGUAGCCGACCUGAGAGGGUGAUCGGCCACACUGGAACUGAACCACGGUCCAGACUCCUACGGGAGGCAGCAGUAGGGAAUCUUCCGCAAUGGGCGAAAGCCUGACGGAGCAACGCCGCGUGAGUGAAGAAGGUCUUCGGAUCGUAAAACUCUGUUAUUAGGGAAGAACAAAUGUGUAAGUAACUAUGCACGUCUUGACGGUACCUAAUCAGAAAGCCACGGCUAACUACGUG